GAUGAACGCUGGCGGCGUGCCUAAUACAUGCAAGUCGAGCGAACGGACGAGAAGCUUGCUUCUCUGAUGUUAGCGGCGGACGGGUGAGUAACACGUGGAUAACCUACCUAUAAGACUGGGAUAACUUCGGGAAACCGGAGCUAAUACCGGAUAAUAUUUUGAACCGCAUGGUUCAAAAGUAAAAGACGGUCUUGCUGCCACUUAUAGAUGGAUCCGCGCUGCAUUAGCUAGUUGGUAAGGUAACGGCUUACCAAGGCAACGAUGCAUAGCCGACCUGAGAGGGUGAUCGGCCACACUGGAACUGAGACACGGUCCAGACUCCUACGGGGGGCAGCAGUAGGGAAUCUUCCGCAAUGGGCGAAAGCCUGACGGAGCAACGCCGCGUGAGUGAUGAAGGUCUUCGGAUCGUAAAACUCUGUUAUUAGGGAAGAACAUAUGUGUAAGUAACUGUGCACAUCUUGACGGUACCUAAUCAGAAAGCCACGGCUAACUACGUG
rnacentral:rRNA from 1 species